GCCUGGGUGGCUCAGUCGGUUGAGCAUCCGACUUUGGCUCAGGUCAUGAUCUCGUGGUCCGUGGGUUCGAGCCCCACAUUGGGCU
rnacentral:tRNA from 1 species